rnacentral:rRNA from 1 species
GAUGAACGCUGGCGGCGUGCUUAACACAUGCAAGUCGAACGGUGAAACAGGAGCUUGCUCCUGCGGAUCAGUGGCGAACGGGUGAGUAACACGUGAGUAACCUGCCCUUGACUCUGGGAUAAGCGUUGUAAACGACGUCUAAUACCGGAUACGAGCUUCAGUCGCAUGACUAGGAGCUGGAAAAGAAUUUUCGGUCAAGG